AGUUAAAAAGCUCGUAGUUGGAUUUCGGUUAAGAGCGACCGGUCCGCCGUUUGGUGUGCACUGGUUGGUUUUAACUUCCUGUAGAGGACGUGCUCUGGGCUUAACGGUCUGGACUCGGAGUCUACGUGGUUACUUUGAAAAAAUUAGAGUGUUCAAAGCGGGCUUACGCUUGAAUAUUUCAGCAUGGAAUAACACUAUAGGACUCCUGUCCUAUUUCGUUGGUCUCGGGACGGGAGUAAUGAUUAAGAGGAACAGUUGGGGGCAUUCGUAUUUCAUUGUCAGAGGUGAAAUUCUUGGAUUUAUGAAAGACGAACUUCUGCGAAAGCAUUUGCCAAGGAUGUUUUCAUUAAUCAAGAACGAAAGUUGGGGGCUCGAAGAUGAUUAGAUACCAUCCUAGUCUCAACCAUAAACGAUGCCGACUAGGGAUUGGCGGAUGUUAACUGAUGACUCCGCCAGCACCUUAUGAGAAAUCAAAGUUUUUGGGUUCCGGGGGGAGUAUGGUCGCAAGGCUGAAACUUAAAGGAAUUGACGGAAGGGCACCACCAGGCGUGGAGCCUGCGGCUUAAUUUGACUCAACACGGGAAAAACUUACC
rnacentral:rRNA from 1 species